rnacentral:tRNA from 1 species
GCCUGGAUAGCUCAGCCGGUAGAGCAUCAGACUAUUAAUCUGAGGGUCCAGGGUUCAAGUCGCUGUUCAGGCG